rnacentral:rRNA from 1 species
AGUGAACGCUGGCGGCAGGCCUAACACAUGCAAGUCGAGCGGCAGCGCGGGGGCAACCCUGGCGGCGAGCGGCGGACGGGUGAGGAAUGCAUCGGAAUCUACCUCGUUGUGGGGGAUAACGUAGGGAAACUUACGCUAAUACCGCAUGAGACCGAGAGGUGAAAGUGGGGGACCCGCGAGGGCCUCACGCGAUGAGAUGAGCCGAUGCCGGAUUAGCUAGUUGGCGGGGUAAAGGCCCACCAAGGCGACGAUCCGUAGCUGGUCUGAGAGGAUGAUCAGCCACACUGGAACUGAGACACGGUCCAGACUCCUACGGGAGGCAGCAGUGGGGAAUAUUGGACAAUGGGCGCAAGCCUGAUCCAGCCAUGCCGCGUGUGUGAAGAAGGCCUUCGGUUGUAAAGCACUUUGUUGGGGUAAGAAAACCUAGCCGGUUAAUACCUGGCGGGAAGUGACGGUACCCAAAGAAUAAGACACCGGCUAACUUCGUGUCAGCAG